rnacentral:lncRNA from 1 species
UUCGGGUGUUUAUUUUGUAUUGUAAUUAUUGUGUAAUUCAGUGUAUGUUUUCGAUGUAGUGCGUGUUUUAUUUUUCAUUGUAUGUUUUUGGUGUAGUGUGUUUUGUUUCUAAGUGAGUGUUUACGGUGUGUAGUGCGUGUUUUUUGUCAGUGUGGUUUUGAUGUACUGCGUGAUUUUUUUUCUAGUGAGUGUUUUCUAGUGUAUUUGUUGCGUAAUUCAAUGUGUGUUUUAG